CCUACGGGGGGCAGCAGUAGGGAAUUUUCGUCAAUGGGCGCAAGCCUGAACGAGCAAUGCCGCGUGAACGAGGAAGGUCUUCGGAUCGUAAAGUUCUGUUGACGGGGAAAAAGAGCGGAGAGAGGAAAUGGUCUCCGAUUGAUAUUACCCUUCGAGGAAGUCACGGCUAACUACUUGCCAGCAGCCGCGGUAAUACUAAGUUGGCGAUCGUUUUCCGGAAUGUUUGGGGGUAAAGGUGGCGUAGGCGGCCUGCUA
rnacentral:rRNA from 1 species